GGGAAACCGAGUCUUAAUAGGGCGUUUAGUUGCAGGUAAUAGACCCGAAACCGGACGAUCUAUCCAUGGCCAGGUUGAAGGUGCCGUAACAGGCACUGGAGGACCGAACCCACUUAUGUUGAAAAAUGAGGGGAUGAGCUGUGGAUCGGAGUGAAAGGCUAAUCAAGUCCGGAGAUAGCUGGUUCUCCUCGAAAACUAUUUAGGUAGUGCCUCGUGAAUAACUGCUGGGGGUAAAGCACUGUGUCGGCUAGGGGGUCAUCCCGACUUACCAAACCGAUGCAAACUCCGAAUACCUACAAGUGCCGAGCAUGGGAGACACACGGCGGGUGCUAACGU
rnacentral:rRNA from 1 species